rnacentral:rRNA from 1 species
GAUGAACGCUGGCGGCGUGCCUAAUACAUGCAAGUCGAGCGAAUGGAUUAAGAGCUUGCUCUUAUGAAGUUAGCGGCGGACGGGUGAGUAACACGUGGGUAACCUGCCCAUAAGACUGGGAUAACUCCGGGAAACCGGGGCUAAUACCGGAUAACAUUUUGAACCGAAUGGUUCGAAAUUGAAAGGCGGCCUCGGACGGCACUUAUGGAUGGACCCGCGUCGCAUUAGCUAGUUGGUGAGGUAACGGCUCACCAAGGCAACGAUGCGUAGCCGACCUGAGAGGGUGAUCGGCCACACUGGGACUGAGACACGGCCCAGACUCCUACGGGAGGCAGCAGUAGGGAAUCUUCCGCAAUGGACGAAAGUCUGACGGAGCAACGCCGCGUGAGUGAUGAAGGCUUUCGGGUCGUAAAACUCUGUUGUUAGGGAAGAACAAGUGCUAGUUGAAUAAGCUGGCACCUUGACGGUACCUAACCAGAAAGCCACGGCUAACUACGUGCCAGCCGCCGCGGUAA